rnacentral:tRNA from 1 species
GGGGCUGUAGUGUAGCCUGGUAAAGUUAAACCAGCGUUGCUUUGGGUUACUAUCACUAAUGGUUUGGGACCAUUGAACCCCGGUUCGAAUCCGGGCAGCCCCA